AAGACUAUACUUUCAGGGAUCAUUUCUAUAGUUUGUUACUAGAGAAGUUUCUCUGAAUGUGUAGAGUACCCACAACCACGAGGAGGAGACGUAGUACCCUUUUCUGAGCGUGAAGUUGGCGUCGGUGUUGUUUUGCAACUACCGUUUGUCUUUGAUGAUCGUUCUGCCUUUCUUUUUUGGAAAGGUAUGAGGGAAAGGGUACCGUCUGAGUGGU
ensembl:snoRNA U3 Small nucleolar RNA U3